rnacentral:lncRNA from 1 species
AUACACAAGGUUACAUUUAUGACAUAAAAUACAGACAUGCAACAUAUCCCCAGAUAGCUUAGGUCUGAGCGCACAUUAUUACUGAAUGGCGCUCAGAGCACACACAUACAGUUCAAUUGCCAUGGAGCCAAAGUCUUUCCCAUAGUCUUUCAUUAUACGAAUGGGCUCCAUGGCAUAGCUAUCUGGGGUAUCACUGCUCAAACAGGGCAAGCACCAAAUGACCCAGCUUUCUUGUCUUUGCAGGGGAAAAUCAAGCCUUUUAACAUGGGGCCAUAAUCCAAAGGCAACAGGCGAGCAACCAGG